UUCCAAAAGAAGUCUUAAAAGAGAUGUACCUCCACCUUCCAUGAAUUUUCUUCUGUCACUUCAUUUGUGGCCUAAACAACUUGAGUAGGUUGAGAGAGGGAGAAA